UGGGGAAUAUUGCACAAUGGGCGAAAGCCUGAUGCAGCAACGCCGCGUGAGUGAUGAAGGCCUUCGGGUUGUAAAGCUCUGUCUUUUGGGACGAUAAUGACGGUACCAAAGGAGGAAGCCACGGCUAACUACGUGCCAGCAGCCGCGGUAAUACGUAGGUGGCAAGCGUUGUCCGGAUUUACUGGGCGUAAAGGAUGCGUAGGCGGAUUUUUUAAGUGAGAUGUGAAAUACCCGGGCUUAACUUGGGUGCUGCAUUUCAAACUGGGAAUCUAGAGUGCGGGAGAGGAGAAUGGAAUUCCUAGUGUAGCGGUGAAAUGCGUAGAGAUUAGGAAGAACACCAGUGGCGAAGGCGAUUCUCUGGACCGUAACUGACGCUGAGGCAUGAAAGCGUGGGUAGCAAACAGGAUUAGAUACCCUGGUAGUCCACGCCGUAAACGAUGAGUACUAGGUGUAGGAGGUAUCGACCCCUUCUGUGCCGCAGUUAACACAAUAAGUACUCCGCCUGGGAAGUACGUUCGCAAGAUUAAAACUCAAAGGAAUUGAC
rnacentral:rRNA from 1 species